AUAAAUUAGUACCACACCACUCUCUCCUCUUCAUAAAUCUCACUUCCUCAUUCCUCAGCUCCUCAAAUCAGAAUGGAUCAAUCCGAGCAGAAUUACGUUUCCGUAGAAAAACCUUCGGAGACUUCACCAGGGCCGUACACAAGUCCGCCGCCAAUUGGUUAUCCGACUAGAGAUGCGAUGGUGGGUGAUCCUCCGGCAGUAGCACUGGAGACAAAGUCCAAGGGCGCCCCGCGCCCCCGAAGCCAUAUUGGGUAUAUUAAAAUGUAUUAAGAGUUGUUGCAACUGUAUCGCAAAAAACCUAGAAGAACUAGACAUACAAGACGGACCAGGUGGAGGUGGUGAUUAAAUCAGCAUGACGAGGCUGAAGUCCUUGCCCAAACCAGAAAAACAACACGUAAUAGAACUUCCAUCAUUAUAUAUGUAUAUAGUCGUUAAUUUGUAAGGAUUCCCACGUUGCCUUUUUAAGUUUAUUUGCUUCAUUGUUUGAAAAAGAUCCAUAUAUGAUCCCCAUUUGCUUCGUGUAUUUUGUUUUUAUAUAAAUCAAAGAAAAGCCAAAAAAAAAGAUAGUCAUAUAAAACUGUGUGUUUAGUGUUCUUA